GCCAGGCAUGGUGGCGCACGCCUGUAAUCCCAGGAACUCUGAAGGUUGAGGCAGGAGAAUCACUUGAACCCAGGAGGCUGGGGCUGCAGUGAGCUGAUAUAGCGCCAUUGCACUCCAGCCUGGGUGACAGAGUGAGACUCUGUCUCAA
ensembl:misc_RNA Metazoa_SRP Metazoan signal recognition particle RNA